rnacentral:rRNA from 1 species
CAGGCCUAACACAUGCAAGUCGAGCGGCAGCGCGGUGGUAGCAAUACCAUUGGCGGCGAGCGGCGGACGGGUGAGGAACACAUCGGAAUCUACCUAUUUGUGGGGGAUAACGUAGGGAAACUUACGCUAAUACCGCAUACGAGCGUGCAUCGACAGGUGCGCACUGAAAGCCGGGGACCUUCGGGCCUGGCGCGGAUAGAUGAGCCGAUGUCCGAUUAGCUAGUUGGCGGGGUAACGGCCCACCAAGGCGACGAUCGGUAGCUGGUCUGAGAGGACGACCAGCCACACUGGAACUGAGACACGGUCCAGACUCCUACGGGAGGCAGCAGUGGGGAAUAUUGGACAAUGGGGGCAACCCUGAUCCAGCCAUGCCGCGUGGGUGAAGAAGGCCUUCGGGUUGUAAAGCCCUUUUGUACGGGAAGAAAAGCUGCGGGUGAAUAUCCUGUAGUCAUGACGGUACCGUAAGAAUAAGCACCGGCUAACUUCGUGCCAGCAGCCGCGGUAAUACGAAGGGUGCAAGCGUUACUCGGAAUUACUGGGCGUAAAGCGUGCGUAGGCGGUGAUUUAAGUCUGAUGUGAAAUCCCCGGGCUCAACCUGGGAAUGCCAUUGAAAACUGGGUNUGCUGAAGUACGGUAAAAGGUGGUGAAAUUCCCGGUGUACCAGUGAAAUGCGUANAAAUCGGGAGGAACAUCUGUGGCGAAGGCGGCCACCUGGAUCAGUACUGACGCUGAGGCACAAAAGCGUGGGGAGCAAACAGGAUUAGAUACCCUGGUAGUCCACGCCCUAAACGAUGCCAACUGGAUGUUGGGGGGAACUUGCCCUUCAGUAUCGAAGCUAACGCGUUAAGUUCGCCGCCUGGGGAGUACGGUCGCAAGACUGAAACUCAAAGGAAUUGACGGGGGCCCGCACAAGCGGUGGAGUAUGUGGUAUUAAUUCGAUGCAACGCGCAGAACCUUACCUGGCCUUGACAUCCACGGAACUUUCCAGAGAUGGAUUGGUGCCUUCGGGAACCGUGAGACAGGUGCUGCAUGGCUGUCGUCAGCUCGUGUCGUGAGAUGUUGGGUUAAGUCCCGCAACGAGCGCAACCCUUGUCCUUAGUUGCCAGCGAGUAGUGUCGGGAACUCUAAGGAGACCGCCGGUGACAAACCGGAGGAAGGUGGGGAUGACGUCAAGUCAUCAUGGCCCUUACGGCCAGGGCUACGCACGUACUACAAUAGUGGGUACAAAGGGUCGCCAAGCCGCGAGGCGGAGCCAAUCCCAGAAAACCCAUCUCAGUCCGGAUCGCAGUCUGCAACUCGACUGCGUGAAGUCGGAAUCGCUAGUAAUCGCGGAUCAGCAAUGCCGCGGUGAAUACGUUCCCGGGACUUGUACACACCGCCC